rnacentral:lncRNA from 1 species
UUUUUUUUUGUCGGUAGUCACUGGUAAAUUUUUUGUGCUUAUUUAUUACUGCAAGUAGUUUUACUGUUAGGGUUUUAGGCUACCCCCUGGGCCUAGGGUACUAGAGAGGGAGGAGGAGGUGGCCAGCGGCCAUGGUGGAGGUGCAGGGGGCGCAGGGAGAGAGGGAGAGGGAGCCGAAGCCUGAAAGCUGGAGAGCUUUAGGGUUUUACCCCUUAAUGCUUUACUGGAUUAAUUUGGUACAUGGGGCCUCUAUUAUAUAGAGGGGACUCGACUUGGCUCUCAAGGCACCUUGACCUACUUGGCUUGCAAGCCAUCCUAAUAUCUAGAACCUUCCUAAUUCCUAACCUAGGUAAACGGGCGGCAGCUGCCGCGCUACAGUACCGCAGGUACUGUUCAGUACCGCAUGCUCCUCUUUGGGCCAGCUUUGGGCCCCUUUGGCCCAUCCGGGCUAGCUGGGCCCUCUAGACCCAUAACAUUUACACUUGGGGAAAGACACGUUUCUGCUCUGUUGAUUGGUCUUGCUAGUUGCCAGAUAAAAUAUAUCCACUAAUCCUGCAUUGUAUUGAUCUUUUAUGAGUUGAAAGCCCAUUCAAUCACCAAUCUUUACAUAUUGUGCCUACUGCUUUCGAAAUUUCUUUUGUUCAAACUUUUUUUCAAUCUUUAUACUUUUCACAAAUGCUUCUUUUAUUCUUGAGUAACUCUUUCCCUUCUGAAAUGCAGAUCUUAUAUGUUACAUUGACAAAUCUGUAUGGUUCAACAGUUGCACCUCCUACCAUUGUUCAAACAUCUGUUCUUCUUGCUGUAGGGGCAGAUAACAAACCACCAUCCUUGCAAAGAUUAAAACAAUUAGCCCAAACGUUAAGAAAUUCUUCUUCAGGAAACUUGGGUUUGAACCACACUGUAUUUGGACGAGUUAAGCAGAUUAGUCUGUCAUCCUAUCUUCAGCAUUCACUGAACAACUCAGGCAACGCUCAUUCCCCAAGUCCAGCUCCUCAACCUUAUAAUCAACCUCCCUCAAUCCACCAGGAUCACAUUGACCACCACCACCAUCAUCACCACCACCACCACCACCACCACCACGAUCAUAGUCAUCAGAGUUUACAGCAUUUGCCCCCUGCUCCUGCUCCUCUUCACGGUGCACCUACUUUUCUGAGCUGUGGUUCUACAUGCACACGCAGGAAAGAACAUAGCACUGCUAAGCACCAUUCACCUUCCAUCAGGGAUCCUCUGUUACGCCAUAUUGUGCCUGCAGCUUCUCCAAAUAGUUAUGGAGCUUCAGGUCCAUAUGCAGAUCCACCAUCAUUUCAUCCAAGGAUUUCAUCAUCUCCGCUUCCUGCUGUUGUCUUUCCUGCAAUGCCGCCCAGUAUGAGAACUUUGAAGCCUCCCAACAAGUUCUCAUCGAUAUCACCUGCAACAUCUAUCUGUGAGUUAUUUUUCUACUGAUUUUCCGUAAUCUCUCUUAGAUUAUAUAUCUAUUGAGGCAAAUUAUUCGUCUGGAUCCAUUUUUCUAUAAGUUAUAACAUGAAUUGCUUGGAUCAUUGAUCUAAAAAUACUGAUAUUGACUUCACUAACUUUAAUAUGCACUCCAGUUAAACAAUUAUUUGCUGUGUACCAAAUCAGCUUCUUGUGUUGAUAAUACUUGACCUUGGGCAGUGUUUAAGGAUGGUCUGUUGACAAAAUCAUAUUUUGAAAUUUGGACGCCAAUGGUUUGUGACACUCUUGACUUACUAUUUUUCUUUUUCCACAAGCUUUUAGAUUUUAACAAUACAAUCAACUGUUUGGGACCUUUAAGUAGGUAACAUGUCUAUUUAAUAUUAUAAAAUCCCUAUUAACUCUUUUGAACUUUGAUUAUUCGUUGGGAAUCAUAAGGCUUUUCUAUUUAAAAAAAACAUAUGGGUAAUGCAUGUAGCAUGACAGUUUACCACAAGAAUAGUAUUUUUAGUUAUCAGUACCAUUUUACUUACUAAGAAACUGGCACAGAAAUAUAUAGAAAAAUAGAACUUAUGUCGUUAUAGUGAAAUGGACAUGGAUAUUGCGUUGUUUUACACUUAUGCUGAGUGACAGUGAAAUGAACAUUAAUAUUUGUGUUAGUUUUGAAAUGAAUUAGUGGGAAAUGCGAGUUCCUGAUAUCUUGAUGAGAAUGAUAAACAUAAUAUGUGCUACAGUCAUUUGUGUACCUCUUUCUUCGUAAUGGAGCCUUAGGGGGCAAUUAAGGACUGAUGACAGUACUUAACAGCUACGUAGGAAUCUGAAAUCAUUUAAUUUUGUGACUUGUGAUGUUUAGACAUAUGAAAGUGAAGUAUUGGGACUUUGUUGUGGGCUUUCCUGACAGAGAUUAGGAAAAGAAUGAACAGUUGCAAUAGCUUUGCUAGAGGGCGAACCUGCUUUCACUCUCUUUCAUAAUAACUUAAGAUACAUAUGAAAGUGAAGUAUCGGGGCUUUGCUGUGUAGCUUCCUGACUGAGAUCAGAAAAAAAUUGAACUGUUGCAAUCUGUAUCUUUGAGUUUGUUUCCUUCUGUCGAUAUUAUCUGGUCUUCUUUUCUUAUUCAGAACUUAUCCGUCUGGUGUUUGAUGUCUAAUACAUCUGCUAUAACAUGGUGCAGCAUUUGCGCCCAGGUUAUCUUCCCACUGGUGGGUCAUUGCAUCACUUCUAUACUGGCCCCUAUUAUAGAGAUCGAAAUAUCUCAUCACCCAGGAGGUGAAGUUCAUGCGGCAGCUUGGAUCACCAUUUUUCAAAUGAUCCUCAGCAUAAAAAACUCUGGAUGGUUGUCUUUGGUGAUCACUUAAUGGAUGUAAAUAUGUGUAUAACGCAGCAGAGGGGUGUAUUUGUGGUCAAAGCCGUAAUGAUGGCGGGCCCUCAGUUGUCUUCCAUCCCUUAUGCUGCUUUGUACAAUCAUGCGCAGAUCAAAUAAAGAUUUUGUGUUUUUUGUUGAGAAUUAUUGUGCAGCACUGAGGUCUUCAGUAUUUAGAAAACAAAGGGGUCUCAUGUUAUUGAUCCAGUUUUGCUGUUUCAUGUGUUGUAAAAUUGUAAAUACGAGUUUGAGAGGGGAUGGACUAAUCUUUUCUUUUUUUGAAAUUAAGAAGCAGCAAUGUUCUGAAUACUUAUGUUUAAUGAAUAAGGCACCUCUAUAUCUCGCGAAGCAUUAGAUUGUUGUCCGAGAUUUGGCCGGGGGCAGAAACUAAACAUGUGGAUAUCAUUCCUGAAUUUAUUGCAGCAUGCAUAUGGAUACAUGAUAGCAUAUUCUGUAUUUUGUUUGGCACCUUCCAUAUUUCUGAUUUGCCUGCAACCGGUCAUAAUUUUUUGCUCCUUUAACUCGUACAAUUACAGUAAUUGAUGUUGCAAAAGUUGUACUAGUUUGCUAUAUGCUUUUCUCAUCUUAUUCUCCAUGUGAAAAGGUUGCCUAUCACUAUCAGUGUCAGAAUCUGAAUCUGUGAAGAUUUGCUCAGACCUGGGACUCUUCAAAUUGAAGCAGAAGACUAAUGGAAUGGAAUUCUUGAAGUUUCCCUCCAUUUCCUCCGAAGCUGCCUGAGUCAUGGUAAGUUUGUAUCCAAAUUGUAAUGUACCUAGAAGCCAAUUGAUCUCUGUAGCUCUUGGAUCUAUUGUUGCACUGCAGGUAUUUGGUGUGUUUUGCUAGAAGAUGUUUCCCAGUGGUACGCUUCAUUGUUAAGCUGGAUUGAUGCUCCAUCGCUGAUGUGAUGUAGCUUAUCUUUCCCUUUCAGGUACAAGACUUUAUCUAGGAUAAUGGCAUGGGCUAAGUGCUUUUAAACAGGAUCGAGUUAUAUGUAACAUAUAGUGCAAUAUGCCUCCUUUCUUGGAUUCCAAAUGUGGUGUGACAAUUGGUUGAGAUUUACCCAGAAUGUGUUGCUUUACAGGUGUGCUUGUGACAACUUUGACCCUACUGGUUGGCUAAGUCAUCCAAGCAACUGUCAGUGACAUUGUUGCAGGUAGUGGGGCUCCAUUUCCAGGAACCAACAUGGAAGGGGGCGGGAGGAAAAAUGCAGAGAACUUGUCUGAAGGUGACGAGGCUCAGCUGAAUGGGUAAGCCAUCACACAGCCAUCACAAAGUUUGGAUAACAAUGACACUUAUUGACAAACAUAGAAAUAUAAAGGUGAAUGGCCAUGUCGGCUCCGCCCAAAUCACCCCUGUUAUGGAAUUUGAAUUAACUACCACACCAUUUCAUAUGACUCUGAAGACAAUAUGACUUCAUUUAUCCCGUCAGCAUGAUCUAAGUUCCGGUUCGGUUCGCGGUAAUCUUCCUCGAUGCUCAUUUGUUGGUGGGUGGCACUGCUCCUUCUUUGACUAUCCUAGACCUUGCUAUUGGAUCAGGUCACAGAUUUUCUAGUUGCCAGUUCAUAUCAUUCAAGUUGUUAGGGUACGUGAUGAAUUGGACAGUGUCUCCAACUGAGAGCUACACAUCUAACCCCGCUCCUGGCCGGUGGCCGACAUCAAAAUGGUUAGUUUGAGUCUUGGUCUCGGCAUCCGCGUUAGAGGCAGGAGGUGCAUGAACAUCGCUAACAGCGAUUUGAUUGGGCCCCGAGAGGAAAGCAGCUCCUUAAAAUUCCAAUUCCUUUUGAAGAGCACAAGCAACUCGGGCACAGUGCUUUGCUUUCUUUUUUUUUGAAAGCCACAGUGCUUUGCUUUCGGUUGUACUGAACGCUGGUUUUAACAAAUGCACAAGGUGUACUUUUUUCCUGUUGGGAAUUCUAGAAACAGUUGACAUACACUAAAGGGCACCUUUCCUUUUAAACUGGCUACUGAAAAGAAAUGCUUUCUUUCCACUGGCAGCAAAAUCUCUAGAGCGACAAGCAUAUGUUAGCCCCUGUAUAUUUUUAACUACACGUGUGGUGUUCAUUUUUUUUUUUUGCCCCUGUCUUGCACCACGAAUAGAAAAAAUAACCCAAAGUGAAGUGCAAGAAAUAGGUACAGAGUGCACACGACUUUCUGAACGAAAGAAUCACUAAGCUACUAGGUCUGUUACUGCAACUGCAAACCUGCAUCUUUUUUGAUGAAUGAAUUUUGCUGACGCCAAACACACACGCUACUGUUGCAGUAACUUGCAACGACGUCCCAAGCCCAAACUUGCUGAGGCCGGCUGACUGGCGCGGCCACUGAUCUGGCCGCGAUCCAAGCCUCAGGGGUAGCCCGACGCCAGGCACGCCUCCCAGAACUUGCGGUCUUCCUCCUGCCGCCUGGCCGCCGCCACCUUGGGGUCCUCGUCGUCGCGCUCGCUGCCGGCGCGUAGUCCGCCCUCGGCCGCCGUGCCCCCGUUCGCCCAGAGGGAGCAGCGGCCGCCGCCGCCGCCGCCGCUGCUCUCGUGAUGGCGCCACCAAUCGACGACGCUCCUGCUCUCCUCGGUCUCCUCGUCGUCUUCCUGUCCCCCACAGCCACCGGCGACGAAGCUGCCGCAACCGCCAUCCUCGUCUCCGCUGUCGUCCUCGACCAGCACCAGCUCCAGCUCCUGAUCCUGGUCCGACGACGGGCAGCAAGACUCCGCCACCCUCUCCUGCUUCCUGCCGUGGGCGACGGCGACGGCGUCGGCGCGACCCCGCUUGCACGGGAGCCGCGGUGGCCGCGCGGCCGGCGCCUGCGACGGUGCCGCUGGCGGCGGCGGAUGCCGGCGCGGGGCUACGUGCGGCUGCGCGGCGGCCAUGGCUCGGAGAAACUAGCUAGAUACCCGGGAGAGAGGGUGAGGCGAGAUUGGUUUCCGGCUUUUGGGUUCGUUUUCAAGAGCGUGGGAUAUGUAUGGAGUGGGGGAGGAGGCAAUCAACAAUAGCAACAAGAGAGCUUUCCUAGGGGACAUGGCGUAUCGGUGGCUUGCUUUUGUUUUGCACUCCUGCAGCUAUCAACUUCCGGGGUCCGCUGCGCCCAACCGCGCGGGCCACGUCGCGUCUUUUCCGCGGGCGUCCGAUCGCGGUGAUCCGGCGACGCGUACUCCUAGUGGGUGGUAGCUGCUGUACUAUUUGCGUCCAGCAGUUUGGUGCUAAAUUAGGAACGCGCAGGAGUGUUUGGAUAUUGAGUUAAAGUUUAGUCCGUGUCACAUCGAAUAUUCGGAUGCUAAUUAGGAGGAUUAAAUAUGAGCUAAUUACAAAAUUAAUUGCGGAACCCCUAGGCUAAAUAGCGAGAUGAAUCUAUUAAGCCUAAUUAAUCCAUCAUUAGCGAAUAUUUACUGUAGCACCAUAUUGUCAAAUCAUGGACUAAUUAGACUUAAUGGAUUCGUCUCGCGAUUUAGUCUAGGGGUUGUGAAAUUGGUUUAUGUAAUUAGCCUAUAUUUAAUACUUCUAAUUAGUGUCAAAUAUUUGAUGUGAUAGGGGCUAAAGUUUAGUCUAGGGAUCAAACACCCCGGGCUCACGAACGAGUCACGCACGAGACGACCACUGCGCUUCAUUUCCAUUCAUCAUCUCCAAGCAUUCUAGAUAAUAACGAGGCACUCUUAAAAACAACGAAAUGAAAUUUUCCAUUCGAAUUGGCCUAAUACGGUUUUUCAUAAUUCCAUGCUUUUGGUGCAUUCUUUUUAUAUAUACAUUUACCACUAUAAUGUACAACUUUCUUUUACCAUCGUUCCUGCCUGAAUUGGUUGGUACCUUUCCUAGCUAAAAGAAAUUCUUGCAAACUCUCCCCCAAUUAGCCUGUUCGCUUCAGCUUAUAAGUCGGCUGAAAAGCUGAAACGGCUGAUUUGUUGUGAGAGAAAAACACUGUUUGGUGGCUGAUAAGCUGGCUGAAUGAGCUGAAGCGAACAGGCUCAAUCCAGACUUUCCAAAGCGAAACAGAGGCGACGACAGGAAGGAAACAAAAUAAGCUACUUGCACCGUUGGCCUCUCUGAUCCGGGCCCCAUCGGAUCAAAAUGGGUUGGGCACUAGCAGCGCACUGACAGCACACUUGGCAUCGUCAGAUGGAUAACCAACGCAUGAUUACCAUUGCGUACGGCGCGGGGGGAACAGCUAGAGCGGCUGACGCCGACGGGCAAGCCGCUGCGCCGUGCGCCCGAUCCCGUCGCACCUCCUUCUAGAAGCGCAUCAGCGAUAGCAUUUCAAAUGCCACAUCCUCCUGUCUGCAUGGAUCGAGGGCUGCUGGCUUCUAGAAGGAGAGGAACCGGACGCGGGACCCAUGCCUGUCCCUUGGGCGCUUUGGAUUCAUUCGAUUAUUCACGCGCGUGCCACCUCUACUUGAUCCAAAUACAACAGCAGCAUCAAACGAGAAUCCAUGGGCACGUUUGUUAUGCUUGCUCGCUGCAAGAUAGGCGCCGGAUAGACUAGUUUGGGUCCUGUUUAGUUGCUCGAUUUUGGACAACUAAAAUCACUGCGUCAGCACUGUAGCAUAUUGUAGCGUUUCGUUUGUAUUUGUGAAUUAUUAUCUAAAUAUUGACUAAUUAGGCUCAAAAGAUUCGUCUCGCAAAGUACAACCAAACUGUGCAAUUAGUUUUUGAUUUCGUCUACAUUCAGUACUCCAUGCAUAUACUGUAAGUUUGAUGUGAUGGUGAAUCUUUUUUUCAUAGUGCCAAAAUUAGUAUUUUGGAGUAACUGAACAAGACCUUGGUUGGUCAGCUAGCUGUCUCGGGGCUUGAGCUUUCAAGGUUUUUCAUGCGAAGCUGAGCGAGUCAGAACCGCUCUCCUUCAUUGGCGAGCUUUAUCUUGCCGAGGCUGAAAAGGCAAAACUACCAAACGUGUCCUGUACACGCUUAUCCUAUCUUGGUUGGUCAUGUUUCUCACGAUGGAAUCUAACCAUAGCUCCAUACAGGUGAGGUGCUUGUGCCCAUCUAAAACGAGUCAUGCGUCAUGCCCGUCUCAAAACCAUUCCCAGAAACAGCGUGCAUUCCAGUUCCAAAGCCGGUAUGAUGUAUUGGGGGCGGGACCGGAUCAGAUGCAUGUCCUGAUCGGCUGGUGCACAUGCCGAUGCCGGCAGAUCGACACACAAGCAUGGCAUCGUUCGUUAAUACUAGUAAUAAAUGGAUGGAUAAAGCAAGCAAGGCGUUACGUGCGGCGCGGGAAACACACCGCUAGCACGGGAGAGUAUCUGCAGGCGCACGAGGCCCGCAUGCCUUCUAGAAGAAGGGCCGGCCGGAGAGGGACACUCUUUCACGUGUUCCAUCGUCGUGUCGUGCCUGCCGCCUCGGUUUUUUUCUGGCAGCUGUUGCAGUUGUAGGGACCGACCGUGUACAGUUGUAGGGACUGACCGUGUACCUGUUGUGUGUGUUGUGCGGUGAUGCACCCUACUAAAGUUUAGCACAUAUCACAUCGGAUGUUUGAUGCUAAUUAGAAGCAUUAAAUAUAGGUUAAUUACAAAACUAAUUGCACAAAUAGAGUCUAAUUCGCGAGACGAAUCUAUUAAGCCUAAUUAGUUCAUGAUUUGACAAUGUGAUGCUACAGUAACCAUUUGCUAAUGAUGGAUUAAUUAGGCUUAAUAGUUUCUUCUCGCAAGUUAGUAUAAGGGUUCUGCAGUUAGUUUUAUAAUUAGCUCAUAUUUAGUUCUCUUAAUUAGCGCCCGAACAUUCGAUGUGAUCCUUCUAAAGUUUAGGACCUCGUAUCCAAACACCUCCUUAAGUGGUAAGGAGUGGUAAGUGGGAUGGCGUACGGUACGACGAGGCUAGCUGGUAUUUGCAGGUGCGUGGUGAAUGCUGCGAGCUGCAAGGGCGCCCGUGGAUUUUUUUCUCUCUCACGAGCACAGCAAGCACCUGCGCAAGUUCAAUUUCGUGUCCUUCGAAUUGAAUUUGACUUGUCCAUCUUGUACGAGGGAGGGAACCAAAGCCGAAGCCCACACGUCGAGGCGUUGCGUCGUCCUCAACUUGUCGACGUACCGCAAGUUUUUUCUUUUUUGGGUCUGGGGACGUGGUCUCUGGUAAACAUGGAAAAUUGGAAACGUGUAAUGGCGCAGAGCCGGAUGUGUUGUUAAUACGUUUAAAUAACAUUUUAAGACUAACGUUGACGUCAACAGGGCAUUUGGUCUAGUGGUAUGAUUCUCGCUUUGGGUGCGAGAGGUCCCGAGUUCGAUUCUCGGAAUGCCCCCCUUUUUUGGCUUAAUUGAAAUUCUUUUUGUGCUUUCUUCUUCUUCUUCUUCUUGUUUUUUUUUUUUAAAAUGCAGCAGCCCGUCGCGCUGUCCAUAUUUCGACCGAUCCGGCGCGAUUCCUUGUUUGCUGUGAACCUGACUUGCUGCAAUGCGAUGUAGGGAGUGUUUGGUUCCUGCCAACGCUUGCCACGCCACAAAAUUCGGCUUUGACGUUUAGCGUGGCAGACUCUGGCUGGAGAGCAAGCAGGCCCGUCAACGUCGCCAGCGACCUCUACGUUUGCCCGUCAAUCUCCGCAGACUGCAGCAACAAGCUUAUCUACUGAGCGAAAGCGAGCACCCCCUCCUGGCUCCCGUUCAUAAGGCACGCCGAGAUCGCCGCCGGCCAUGCUUCGACGACGAUGACAGUGGGAGAAGAUGCCAACGGCGCGGUACGCAGGUAACCAUGCGCACGCCGGCAAACCCGGUGCCACCACUGGCACGGACCAGCUUCAAGAAAGAACAGACGAUGAGACAAUGCACAUCAACCGGCAAGACAGCAACAACCAACAGGCCAAACAGUCUAGCACACCAGAAAUGCGCUCCACAGGUGCCCUCUUAUUUCACUUAUAUCAGUCGGACGCUCUCAAAAGCGACACGUAACACAGAUUCAGGAGAAACAGCGUUCACCAACACAUGUUCAGUUCAUCGGCAGGUGCUACAAGUGCGAACGGCAAACACGCUGAUCAUAGAUGGAUCGGGUGCUCUUAUUUCACAUGUCCAAGGAUGUUCAGACUGGUGUGGUGGUGACAAGGCAGGAGGCGACGCUUUCAGCACUCAAGUCCAGCGACCACUUUCAGCUUCAGCCCUGGAGUCCAAUGAUCCCUGGAAAUGAUAAUACAAUGCAAUGAGAAAUCCAUAUAGUAUAACAAGGAACAUUUGGUAUUUGUUAUUAUACAGAAAAUGAUGCUUGUUUGGAGGAAGGAAUGGGGCUGGCCAGCUGGGGAAACAGUGAACAUACCACAGGCAAUGCGGCCACCAGCGUUUCCAGUGCUCUUGCUCAGCUCGUGCCCACCUGAACAUACAAACACAAAAACCAACAAUUAUUAAACUCCAUUUAAUGGCACUGGAUAAAACCCACAAACAGAGGCAUCGGUUUGGCAAUCAAAGACAAACAGGCAACACAAUCUGACAAAGUGCACAGACAAGAUGUUUAAAUGAACAAAUGUGCAUAGAUCAGUGACAAGCACCAUACCGCAAGCAAGAUUUCACAAGCAUAAUAUACAAACUUGAAACUCCAGACAAGGUCAAUAGAUCACAGGACAGCCAAAUAGACAACUCAGGUAAGGCACUAUAACCUACUUCCAACUUAUUUGAAGUUCAAAUUCCUUCCUGACAGAGAGAUGCCAAAAGCACUGGGGUUUUCAGGGAAAUCGCAGGACAGUACAAGCAUAGCCAUACCUCAAUUUUUUUUCCUCUGGCGUUUAAUAAUCAGAUAGUUAGGACACUAUUACAUUGUCUUGCUCAUGUCAUCUAUAAAUAGAAAUCUAUACUGAUCUUUCAUAAGUCUAUCUGAACUAAGAACCACUGUGUGCUAAUAGACAGAACCUUAGCUCAAAACAGACUACAACACACAAAAGGCACAAGUGUAAACGAUAAGUAGCAGCAUUACCCUUUCCAAGAUCAUCAGGAUCAGCGUGAACAACAACAGCUCUGCCAAUGAUCGAGUUCGGCCCAGUCAGUGGGAUCUGCCAGGAAAAAAAAUAUCACCGAUGUUAAAGGUAAGUAGAAGG